CACGAUAGUAGGAGCGAGUACGAAGCUUGGAAAAGUUGUGGAAUUAGUUCGAACGAUUUUAUUUUCGAAAACGAACGUUUUUAGGGGGUCAACAAAGUUGACUUUUUAUACGUUCAAAAUUUUGGAAAACUUCCUUCAUGAAAGUUGUAGAGCUCGUCGAUACGAGUUCGUGGACAUGUGGAACGCAUUAUUUGGAGUUCGUAUGAAUAAGUUAUGAAUAUUUUAAAAUUGAGAAUUUUCUAUAAAUACAAAAAAUCAGAUUUCUCAAUAAGGAAACCCGAAAAUUUCCAGAUUUUUCUCCUCCUCGCUGCCUUGGCUUCACGGCGUCGCCACGACUUCAUCCGGCCACCUAUGGCCAUGAAAUUGAUAUCAAUCUCUUCACCUUGAAACCAGCUUUCCAUUCAUAUAUGUCUUGCAUCCUAUCAUUCACCAUAGACAACGAAUCGAAGCAAAGAAGGUCAGACCAUUUUUCAUGCAUUUCUUCAAAUUCCAGCCAACUCCGGCAAAGGUAGGAGGGGAGACCAACUGGGCUUUGUUCGCCUUGCCAUGCUCUAUAAACUCACCAAGUUUCACAUCUCGAUUCAACCCGAGGAAGACGAAUUUCAGAUUUGAGCGAUUUUGGGCGAUUUCGGCCUCUUUCUUCUUGAGGUGAUUGGCGGAUUGAUUUGGCGGACGAUUCGUAAAAUCGUUGUUGAGCUGUUUAGAAGACGCAGCGGGAUUAUCGAGCGGGUAAUCCUACAGGACAGGAGAACCAGGACGGUGAUCGUGCGGUUAGAGCAAUUGUUAGAGUUUUACAACAAUUGUAAGUUGUGAGGUGUGUUAUGCUCAUUUGAGCUUUAUAAUAUAUUGUGAGAGUGAAUUGUAAUAAUGAACUCGAAGUUUCGAGAUUUGUUUUUUUGUAAUUGUAAUUAUUCAGGUUUCGGAUUUGAAUUUAUCAUUCAAAAUCCGGGGCGUGACAGUUUGGUAUCAGAGCGUAAGGUGCAUAUUUGGUGAUGUGUCAAUACCUUCCGAGUGAUGGCCCGUCUGCAGCGGAUCCCCAUCGUGUGCUCUUUGGUAUUGGCUAAGUCAUUGGGUAUGCGUGAGUGUUGGGAGUUGUUUAGGCCGCUAGGUCGUUUAGGGAACGUGAAUACAUUCCCUAUAGUAUUGACUUGGUUAAUAUGAAUUUGUAUUUGACUUAUACUGUGUUUUAAGUGUUAUACAUGUAUUAGCCAAGCAUACUAUACUCCUUAGGUGAUGGAGAUUCGAAGGGGUUGUACUUAGAACCUUACAGUUGUCUUGUAGGUUCGUAUUGGAAUAAGUUCAGUGGCCGCGAGUUACAAUCCUUGAGGAAUAGGAACCUCUUGAUUCAACUCUGUUAAGUCAACGAGGAUUGUUGUAUGGAAGUGAGGUUCUUUUGGAUGUUGAAGUGUUUGGUUGAAGGCAUGAUGUGGACCUAUGCACGUACCUAGUGUGGAUACGAGUAUUAAUGGAUAGAAAGUUGCCUUCUUAAGUUGGACGUACAUAUGUUUUUGGAUGAGAUGUACAUGUCAAAUAAUAGAUAUCUUGUUUUGUAAUGAGAUGUCCUUGUGGAGUUUGUUAGUAGGGUUGAGGUUAGGGAAGAAAUUAUUGUGGUUACUUCUUCCUUGUGCUUGUAAGUUGUUAAGCAGGGUUUAAGGUGCGAGACAAGAAUUUUAUUUUGUGCUCGAUGGUUAGAGAUGAGAGACCAUUGUUUUGGGUUGUCGUUGAGUACUAUAAUUCCUUCAGAAUCAGGAUUGUUGGUAGAAUUGGAAUUAGUAGUAGUUUUGGUGAUUCUGAAUUUGAAUUGAGUUCGCGAGAUGUGUCUUAUAUACGUGGUUGAUGUUACUUGCAUCAUUUUGGAACGAUACGUUACGAUUCACAAGGAAAACUGGAUUUGAAAUUUAUUCAUUUGAACACCAUGGGUUGAUGACCUGACCGUGACUUGUGAAUAUAGUUUUGUUCAAGUG